GUGUCAGCCGCCGUGGUAAUACAGAGGGUGCAAGCGUUAAUCGGAUUUACUGGGCGUAAAGCGCGCGUAGGUGGUUAAUUAAGUCAAAUGUGAAAUCCCCGAGCUUAACUUGGGAAUUGCAUUCGAUACUGGUUAGCUAGAGUAUGGGAGAGGAUGGUAGAAUUCCAGGUGUAGCGGUGAAAUGCGUAGAGAUCUGGAGGAAUACCGAUGGCGAAGGCAGCCAUCUGGCCUAAUACUGACACUGAGGUGCGAAAGCAUGGGGAGCAAACAGGAUUAGAAACCCGCGUAGUCC
rnacentral:rRNA from 1 species